rnacentral:tRNA from 1 species
GUCAGCAUGGCAUAGUGGUUUGAAUGUUGGACUAGGACUCUGGAGAUCAGGGUUCAAAUCCCUGAUUGCCCAUG